UUUGUAAAUUACUAAAUUUGUUUUUAUAUUUUGUUUUUUGAUGAAUAUGUUUUUAUUUAUUAUUUUUUAGAACAAUUUAUUUUUGUGGUAGUUUAUUAGUACUGUGGGGGAAUUUUAAAAAAGAAGAAAGAAGGUUUAGUUUACUGUACCUUGUGUAUCAGGGUUAAUUAAUUUUAGUUUAUUAUUUAAAUUUUCCCGAAUUUAGGAGAGCUAUUUCUAUAAGUUUUUUAUUGUUUCAUAAAUAUUAAAAAUAUAGUUAUUGUAAUGAAACGUUAUUCGUUCCUAAAUAUUUCUGGUUUUUCAAGAAACAAAUUAAAUUUGCUUUUUAGUAAAUAAUUUUAAAUUUUUAUUUGUUUUUGCUAAAAGGUUAUGUCCUAAGGGAUUAGCUUUGGGACAAAAACUUAAAAAUUUUUAUUUUUUCUGGGCAAUUAGGAUUAGAAUUGUUCUUAUUAAGAUAAUGUUAAAGUUUUCCUAGAUGGAAAUUUUAUUUUUGUAAGUUUUAAGGUUUUUAUUGAAAUUUUUUAAUUAAUACUUAAUUAAAAGUAACUAUGAUUAAAUUAGUAUAUAUUUUUGUAAUUUUAAAUUUUUGAUUAAGGUUUAAUAAAGGAAUUCGGCAAAUUAUUUUCUACCUGUUUAUUAAAAACAUGUCCUAUCGAUAAUAAUCUUAGGUCUAACCUGCCCGCUGAGUAGUUGAAGAGCCGCGGUAUUUUGACCGUGCAAAGGUAGCAUAAUAAUUAGUUUUUUAAUUGAAAGCUGGAAUGAAUGGUUGAAUAAGAAAAUGACUGUCUCUGUUAAAUUUUUUAGAAUUUUAUCUUUAAGUAAAAAAGCUUAAAUUUGGCUAAAAGACGAGAAGACCCUAUAGAGUUUUAUAAUUUUAUGUUUUUGGCUUUUUAGAAUUUUUUGGGCAAUAAAACUAUAAUUUAUUUGGUUGGGGUGACUGAAAAAUUAAAAUAACUUUUUCUUUAUUUUUACAUUAAUUUAUGAAGAAUUUGAUCCAGAUUUUUUGAUUAUAAGAGUAAAUUACCUUAGGGAUAACAGCGUAAUUCUUUUUGAGAGUUCAAAUCGAAAAUGGAGUUUGCGACCUCGAUGUUGGAUUAAAAUUUAAUUUUGGUGCAGAAGCUAAAAGUUUAGGUCUGUUCGACCUUUAAAAUUUUACAUGAUCUGAGUUUAAACCGGCGUGAGCCAGGUUGGUUUCUAUCUUUAGUUUAAUUAACUUUCUAGUACGAGAGGACCGUGAGUUAGAUAUAAUAUUUUUAUUUU
rnacentral:rRNA from 1 species